rnacentral:rRNA from 1 species
UACGGAGGAUGCGAGCGUUAUCCGGAUUUAUUGGGUUUAAAGGGUGCGUAGGCGGACGGUCAAGUCAGCGGUAAAAUUGAGAGGCUCAACCUCUUCCCGCCGUUGAAACUGGUGGUCUUGAGUGGAUGAGAAGUACGCGGAAUGCGUGGUGUAGCGGUGAAAUGCAUAGAUAUCACGCAGAACUCCGAUUGCGAAGGCAGCGUACCGGCAUCCAACUGACGCUGAGGCACGAAAGCGUGGGGAUCAAACAGG